UCUCUGUCCCUGAGACCCUUAACCUGUGAAGUCUACAGGUCACAGGUGAGGUCCUUAGGAACAGAG
rnacentral:pre_miRNA from 13 species